GUUAGCUCGAUUGGUAGAGCGCUCCACCUGUAAUGGAGAGGUCCCGGGUUCGAUACCCGGACCAGGCG
rnacentral:tRNA from 1 species